rnacentral:rRNA from 1 species
AGUGAACGCUGGCGGUAGGCCUAACACAUGCAAGUCGAACGGCAGCACAGUAAGAGCUUGCUCUUACGGGUGGCGAGUGGCGGACGGGCGAGGAAUACAUCGGAAUCUACUUUUUCGUGGGGGAUAACGUAGGGAAACUUACGCUAAUACCGCAUACGACCUACGGGUCAAAGCAGGGGAUCUUCGGACCUUGCGCGAUUGAAUGAGCCGAUGUCGGAUUAGCUAGUUGGCGGGGUAAAGGCCCACCAAGGCGACGAUCCGUAGCUGGUCUGAGAGGAUGAUCAGCCACACUGGAACUGAGACACGGUCCAGACUCCUACGGGAGGCAGCAGUGGGGAAUAUUGGACAAUGGGCGCAAGCCUGAUCCAGCCAUACCGCGUGGGUGAAGAAGGCCUUCGGGUUGUAAAGCCCUUUUGUUGGGAAAGAAAAGCAGCAGGUUAAUACCCCGCUGUUCUGACGGUACCCAAAGAAUAAGCACCGGCUAACUUCGUG